AGUGAACGCUGGCGGUAGGCCUAACACAUGCAAGUCGAACGGCAGCACAGUAAGAGCUUGCUCUUACGGGUGGCGAGUGGCGGACGGGUGAGGAAUACAUCGGAAUCUACUUUUUCGUGGGGGAUAACGUAGGGAAACUUACGCUAAUACCGCAUACGACCUACGGGUGAAAGCAGGGGAUCUUCGGACCUUGCGCGAUUGAAUGAGCCGAUGUCGGAUUAGCUAGUUGGCGGGGUAAAGGCCCACCAAGGCGACGAUCCGUAGCUGGUCUGAGAGGAUGGUCAGCCACACUGGAACUGGACCACGGUCCAGACUCCUACGGGAGGCAGCAGUGGGGAAUAUUGGACAAAGGGCGCAAGCCUGAUCCAGCCAUACCGCGUGGGUGAAGAAGGCCUUCGGGUUGUAAAGCCCUUUUGUUGGGAAAGAAAAGCAGCAGGUUAAUACCCCGCUGUUCUGACGGUACCCAAAGAAUAAGCACCGGCUAACUUCGUG
rnacentral:rRNA from 1 species